ensembl:lncRNA
GGCUUCCGGCAGUGGCGAGGUGCUGAUAGCGCUGAGCACUCAGAGGCUGAAAUUGGAUUUACCCGCAGGCUGAGGGCAGCGCUGGGCUGGCAAGCCUUGGAGUCAACAUCCAUCCAUUCAUUCCUAAGGGGGGGAAAAGGAAAUACACUAUCCGAACUCAAGAGGCCUAUUUAUUUAUCCCCGUUAGCAGGCAGGACACUUGACAAGCCCACGUCUUGGGGCUCGUUAGCGUCUUUAUUGCGAGAAGAUCUCGCCCGCAAGUUCCCACGGGGGCCAGGAGUCAGCGGGGCGCAUUUUCCUUAAAAAGCCUUCUUCACAGAGUGGGCUGGAAUCGCAACCGUUAAAGAGGCCUCACCGCACAAAGGGGCGUCCCGGCGGUAAUCGGUAAUCGGGAAAUAAAUUUGAUUUUCUGAAUUCUUCGGCAGCUGGUGACAAAGGAGCAGGCUGUAGUCUCAUGAAGAUGCCCCCUUCCUUUGCUCCUGGCUGUGUCAUUGCACUGAGGACUGCUUCAUGCAAACUGGAGGCUCUGCUGGGCCAAACAGAAUUGUGAUGAAUCACCUGGGCUUUGACGGCAGACAGGUCUGGGGUCACGCUGUGCUCAUCCACUUCCUGGCCGGAUGACUUUGAUGAAGCGCCUUGAUCUCCCUGAACCUCAGUGUCCUCGCCUGUAAAAUAAGGACGAUAAUCACAUCCACCUCACAGAGCUGCUGGGGUUGGUCCAGAGUAAGCCACUGAUUAAAGGCAGCUGUUAUUG